rnacentral:rRNA from 1 species
CCUACGGGAGGCAGCAGUGGGGGAUAUUGCACAAUGGGGGAAACCCUGAUGCAGCGACGCCGCGUGGGCGAAGAAGUAUUUCGGUAUGUAAAGCCCUAUCAGCAGGGAAGAAGAAAUGACGGUACCUGAGUAAGCAGCACCGGCUAAAUACGUGCCAGCAGCCGCGGUAAUACGUAUGGUGCAAGCGUUAUCCGGAUUUACUGGGGGUAAAGGGAGCGCAGGCGGGACGGCAAGGCUGAUGGGAAAGCCCGAGGCCCAACCGUGGGCCCGCAUUGGAAACUACCGGGCUGGAGUGCGGGAGAGGUAGGCGGAAUGCGUGGUGUAGCGGUGAAAUGCGUAGAUAUUAGGAGGAACACCGGUGGCGAAGGUGGCCUACUGGACGGUGACUGACGCUGAGGCUCGAAAGCGUGGGGAGCGAACAGGAUUAGAUACCCGAGUAGUC